rnacentral:lncRNA from 1 species
AAAACACAAAAAGUAAAAGUAAGAAAGAAACAAGCUAACUAAAAAACUGAAAGGCAGCUAAAUUUAUACUCAGUUAAAAGACUUUAUAUAUGUAUUGCCAUAGGCCAAUUUUAAAAGCAAGACUUUGGAUCAUUUAUAUGCAAGCAUAUACUUUCCUUCUUUAAAAUGAUUUGGGUUACAUUUCCUUUUCUAGCAUACCCUGCAUACUGAUUGUAAAAGACAUGUCACAAGUCAAUUAUAAGAAAUAUUUGGCGCAGCAUACACAUUUUCUUGUACUCUCUCAACUGAAUUUCCUUAUGGUGACUAUUCUCAAGGACUUUUCUGCAACAAAAGAAAUCUG